UGGUGGGCGGUGGACGGUGGUGUUUGCAACUCUGAGGCCUGGAUUUGGAUCCUCUGAUGCUAUUUCCCAGCACUAAGCAAGUGGGUUUAACUGCGACCCUCGGACCUCCCCAAGGAUGUGAUCCCAGAUCCUUCCGGAGGAAGCUGGGGAAUUUUUUAAAGGCCUCUUUCAAUCCAGUCUCUUUCCUGCGAGAGCGAAGGGUCCAGCCCCACCGAUAGGUCAAACUUUCGCGCAUUGGUCCAGCCCUCGUCCAUUGGGCCAGCGGUGCCCAGCGCUGGUGCCCACCAGUCCCGCCAUCGCCCGUCGAGUCCGGACCUCGUCCAUCAGUCCUUCUCACAGCCACUGGACACUUGUCAUUGUCCGACCACCCUGUGCCGUGGACCUGGAAUACUCCGGUACAGGAAGUUGUGGGGCCCCGAGCGCUAAGCCUCUGCGUGGCCCGACGCCUCACCUCCCUUCCCGCACGGCGCCCCCGGCCCUCCGUGCACCGCCACCUUCCACAGCUCGUGCGACCCCUCCUUCCAACCGUUCCCCUUCGCCAGGUGGAGCCUCUGGUCUUCUGGCUGUGUGUCCUCGGCGUUUGAAGAGUGAAGACGCUGCUCCUCUCUAGGAAACCCCACGCUCCCCUGACACCCCUUCCCUCCGCCUCCCUCCAGAGUCGCUCCAAAGCUGCUGCGGGUCCGGCCCCCGGCCCCGGGCAAGAACGGUCCAGCUCCCUAGGGGUCUGCCUAGGGAGUCCGUCUCUGUCCUCCAGUUCUCUCCUAUCCUCCGGCAUCCUAAUCCGCAUAUUAAAUUUUUUUCCUCACCCGA